CACAUUCAGCACUCAUCUAUAAAUAGGCUACACACACAGGGAUGCGCUCCUACAUUUACAAACAAAGCUCUGUGAUUGGCUCGCAGGCGGAGCACACUGGGAUGAGGACGUACUAUUUCCGUGCGGACACACAGGAGGACAUGAAUGGCUGGGGCGAGGGCCAUGAACCAGGCUGCACUGAUGCAAAACCCACACAGUGAAGAGAGACGAGUCGGAUCAACCAGACCAAGUGAACGUUUCUGAGAAACUCAAGCAGCAGGCUGUUCCUCAGACCAACCACAUCAACAGCUUUGUGAUUCCAGAACCUGAAGUUAUCCAAAGUGACGAGCUGCAGGAGGAGAAGCAGGAAGCAUUUGUUGGAGAAGUGGAGAUUCAGGUUGCUCCAAGAGAGAUGGAGCAGGCGAGGGGUAAAUCUCCAGCGAGCAGGAUAGUAGAGGUGGAGGUUUUAGCUCCAGGGUCAGCACCAGCAUCCCAAGUUCCCUCUCGAGCUCCUUCCAGGGCCGUCUCGACCCCGCCAGUGCU